CGGUCCCCCAGGAAUAAGGGNCGGUUUNUUACGUGCCAGCAGCCGCGGUUAUANGUNGGUCCCGANCGUUUGCGGGAAAUUUCUGGGCGUAAAGGGUCCGUAGGCGGUCUGGUAAGUGGAAGGUGAAAUCGUGCGGCUCACCCGUAGAAUUGCCUUCCAAACUGCCGUUCUUGAGGCAGGGAGAGGUCGGCGGAAUUCCCGGUGUAGCGGUGAAAUGCGUAG
rnacentral:rRNA from 1 species